AAUAGAUACCCGGGUAGUCCACGCCGUAAACGAUGAGUGCUAAGUGUUAGAGGGUUUCCGCCCUUUAGUGCUGCAGCUAACGCAUUAAGCACUCCGCCUGGGGAGUACGGCCGCAAGGCUGAAACUCAAAGGAAUUGACGGGGGCCCGCACAAGCGGUGGAGCAUGUGGUUUAAUUCGAAGCAACGCGAAGAACCUUACCAGGUCUUGACAUCCUCUGCCAACCCUAGAGAUAGGGCGUUCCCCUUCGGGGGACAGAGUGACAGGUGGUGCAUGGUUGUCGUCAGCUCGUGUCGUGAGAUGUUGGGUUAAGUCCCGCAACGAGCGCAACCCUUGAUCUUAGUUGCCAGCAUUUAGUUGGGCACUCUAAGGUGACUGCCGGUGACAAACCGGAGGAAGGUGGGGAUGACGUCAAAUCAUCAUGCCCCUUAUGACCUGGGCUACACACGUGCUACAAUGGAUGGUACAAAGAGCUGCGAACCCGCGAGGGUAAGCGAAUCUCAUAAAGCCAUUCUCAGUUCGGAUUGUAGGCUG
rnacentral:rRNA from 1 species